UAAAAAAAAAAAGAUGAAAAAACUCAAAUUUUCUUACUCUCUCUCUCUCUCUCUUCCCUUCAAGCCUAGCAAGAACCCACCAAAAUAUUAGGAUUUUGGUUUGAUUUUAAAGAGAUCAUAGUUGAAUCCAAGUUGUGUAAAUCAAAGGUACAGGAAAGGCGAAGGCUGAACAGGAGUGAGCUCCAAGCUUAGAUGGUGAUUAUACAUGUCAGGACGGGCGACUUGGGGUGUUCGAUCUCGGGACAUCUUAGGCAAUAUUUUGCAGUCGCUCUGCGACAUGUUGGUAAAAAUAUUUUGGCUAUGUUUGUAAAAAUUUAAACUCGAGAUCGCGAUUAUGUAAAUAUAAGUAUUUAUAAAGUUUGAUAAUUUUAGGUGAGAAAGUUAAUUAGAAAAUAACUGUAGCGCACCUAAGUAUCAGGGCGUUACAUCAUGUUAUUUAACAAGAGAUAGGAUAACUUACCAAACAUGCUAGAAUAACUAUGUUGUGUAAAUUGAUUCAUAUUGAUUUACAUUUUGUUAUGUCUCAAAUAUAAAUAUAUCAA